GACGAACCGUACAAACGUUAUUCGGAAUCACUGGGCUUAAAGGGUGCGUAGGCGGCGCGGAAAGUAGGGUGUGAAAUCCCUCGGCUCAACCGAGGAAUUGCGCCCUAAACUACCGUGCUCGAGGGAGAUAGAGGUGAGCGGAACUUAGGGUGGAGCGGUGAAAUGCGUUGAUAUCCUAAGGAACACCGGUGGCGAAAGCGGCUCACUGGAUCCCUUCUGACGCUGAGGCACGAAAGCUAGGGUAGCGAACGGG
rnacentral:rRNA from 1 species